GUAUCUAUCCAAGAGUCUAAGGAGAGAGUUAUCGGAAAGGGUUCAGACACUCUCAUAAUUAGUGGUUUUGUUCUCUUUAGUCGAGCGAGAAGUAGAAGCGUGAUUAGAAGCUUCUUUUGCUUCGGAAGAAUCAGAAACUGCUAAAUUUUUUGACUUACUUUCGCUAGAGACAUGAAAGUGGGCUAAUUUUUCGGUAAUCUUUUCGACUAAUUUACCUGAGACAGAGAUAUUGUCACUGAGUUUAUGGAACAAUUCUCGUCGAAAUUCAGGAGGUUUGAAUAUAGGAUUAGGCUCUAUCGUACUAUUUGUACUAGGCCUAGGGAUAGUUAGACUAGGGGUUAG
rnacentral:lncRNA from 1 species